rnacentral:lncRNA from 1 species
ACAAACAGUGACCUGAGUUCAGAUCACCAGAACCCAUGUGAAAAUGAGGGUGCCAUGGUGUAUGGCCAUAAUCCCAAAAUUUGGGGUGGAGGCUCCCUGAAGUCUGCUGGCCAGCCAGUGUAGUCAAAUUUGCAACUUCCAGGUUCAGUGAAAGACCCUGUAUUAUACAAUAAGAUGGAGGCUACAUUUGAUACUAUAAUUACUGUCCAUCCUGAUGCCCUGUUGUAAUGUACUCAAGUUUUUCCACUAAUAAUAAAGUGGAGAAUGCUUGAGGGAAAUACCAAUUGGCUUCUACACUCAUGUACACAUAAGUACACAAACAUAUACAUGCAUAUACACAUGAACAUACACACUGAAAAAAACAAAAAGGUCUCAAGAUAUCACUCAAUGGCCAUACACUAGCUUGCAUGAGGCCAUUGGGUUCAAGUCCCAGUGUAAGUACUUCCAAAAGAACACACACACCCCAAAUGCUGAAAGUAAAUGUUAUUAUUUUUCUGCUAGUGAUACAUGUAAUUUAAGAAUAAUGGUUUAAAAUAUUCAUUUAGUUUAUCUUUGUAUGUGCAUUAUAUGUGUGCCUGAGAAAGUCAGAAGGUGCCAUAUCAUGGACUAUCCAGAAACUACCCCACCCAGGGAUCCAUCCCAUAAUCAGCUACCAAACCCAGACACUAUUGCACAUGCCAGAAAGAUUUUGCUGAAGGGACUCUGUUAUAGCUAUCUCGUAUGAGGUUAUGCCAGUGCCUGGCAAAUACAGAAGUGGAUGCUCACAGUUAUCUAUAAGAUGGAACACAGGGCCCUCAAUGGAGAAGUUAGAGAAAGCACCCAAGGAGCUGAAGGGGUCUGCAGCCCUGUAAGUGGAACAACAAUAUGAACUAACCAGUAACCCCAGAGCUCGUAUCUCUAGCUGCACAUGUAGCAGAAGAUGGCCUGGUUGGCCAUCACUGGGAAGAGAGGCCCCUUGGUGUUACAAACUCUAUAUGCCCCAGUACAGGGGAAUGCCAGGGCCAAGAAGCUGGAGUGGGUGGGUAGGGGAGCAGGAUGGAGGGAGGGUAUAGGGAACUUUCCAGGAUAACAUUUGAAAUGUAUAUAAAGAAAAUAUCU